UUUUAUUAAUGAGUAUCAGAGGUUGGUACAAUAUAAGCUAAUAAUCACAAACUUUUGUUUCAAUUAAAUAAAAAUUGAUUGUCCAAACUAUAAACUAUAUUUUGGCGCACAAUUAUCUAGUUGCUAAAUUCACAAUUUUGAGAAGAUUACGAAAGUAUAUUAGCAGAAACGGUUUAUAUCACGGCCGAAAGUCAAUAGAAGCCGGCAGUACACAAACAAAGCCAUAAAAAAACAAUAAAAAGGGGUAGGUAAAGAUGUUUGAAAGUACAAAUGUUUCCGAAUACAUAUGCACAUAUAAAAUUCAAUUGGUUUUCCACUAAUCGUACGGACAUCUAUACGAACUCUAACAACUACGAACACCGUAAAAGCAAUACAAGUGGUUUCGUAAAAUGAACAAUUGUUUGCGUGUCUUCAAGUUUAAGCAGUGAUUUGAUUUGGAACAGAUAUAAAUAACACACAAACACAAAUGCAUUUAUUUAAAAUUACCUAAAAAAGAAACAUUAAAUCGCGUAACCUUCAGAUAAAAAUGCCGGCCGGCACAAGCUGUAUUUUUUUCUGACAUUUUUGUAUUAUAAUUAGAUUGAUAAGUAUUCACGAAUGCGAAAUAAGCAUCAUGUACUCGUAAGUAUCUACAAACACAUAUUCGAACCAAAAUGUACAAAGUAAUGUGUAAGCAAACUAUAAAAGCGGGCAUCAUAAAUGUAUUUGAAAGCACAUCGGAGUCAGUUAUUACAAGGCAAUUAAUUGCAAAGAAAAGCAUAGAUGUAAUAUGUAUUCGCAAAAGUAAGCAUCAGUGGCAGUGAAAAUAUUAUGUAUGUACAUACAUAUGUAUGUCAUUCAUGCAAUGGCAAUGUGUCUGAGGUAUCCGAGAGGUGCGCCAAGUCAAUCAAACUAUUUGAUUGUUUGGUUUUUCCAUCUUGAUGUGACCAUGACUUCGACAGUUCUGGCUGAUAUGUCACUUAGUAUGGUGGUUGUUGCUUUCGUCAAGUCAUAAAUCAUAACAAGGAAUGCAGAGCAACAACAUGAAUAAAUGGCAAAAGACGCUGAUGACGUUACAGGAAAUAUAUCGAAAAUAAAAAAGAUGUAAAAUCAGUGAUCAUUGUUUGAAUAACUUUACAAAUAUGUAUUGGAAAAAAAAUGCAUGCAAUAGUCAAGUCACUCACAAAAAGAACAUCGCAAACACUUAGUGCCGUUUAUUAAUAUUUUCUUAUUGAUUUAGAAACAUACAAAAAUAACAAGGACCUCCAUUUAGAUGGGUGAACAGUUUUAAUUGCCCGACAUAAAAAAUGGUGUUUUGCGAUGAAGAAGUUAUUUGUCAAAAAACAGUUACAAUUACAUUAGAGAAAACUUAAAAAUUUACAAAGUAUAAAUACGUAGACAUCUAUACGAAUACUUAUAUGUAUUCAAAAUAAAUAAUAAAUAAGUGAUUUUGGUAAAAUUGACAAAAAAUGCAUGUAUGUAUAUAGAGAAAUAAGCUGUGCCGGCUGACUAUGUGGUUCACUUACUAACGAAUGAAAUGCAAUUAUCGAAUGAGUAACGGCUAUGUAGAAAACGAAACACACACGUGCUAGCAACAAUUUAACAGUGUAAGUAAAAAGAAUGCUGACUGUUGACAUACUAACUGGGCUGAAACUGACUCGAUUUUCUUUGUUUUCCGUUGUAAGCUCACCGUCGUCGAAGAGAUCGUUAAGCAAGCGGCGGCUUAAAUAAUCGAGCACGCAUACUACGUUUUCAUAAAAACAACAUCUGUGCCAACGUUGAUUGGAGUUGGCGAAAGCAUUUUUAAGCAACCUCGGUGGUUUGGCGGUCAGAGGGCAAAAACAAUGCAAACAUAUACAAAAAAAAAACGAAAACACACUCACUCAGGGAGC
rnacentral:lncRNA from 1 species